UUGAUAACUGUCCAAUUACUAUUUUAUUGAAGUUCUUAACUCAUUCGUCGUCUCCCUCGUGGUAUUUGCACCCACUUCUUUUUCUUUAGCGUUUCUUGUUUUUCUUACGCAAAGAAACCAAUUGACCUCACUUAAAUCGUAGCGCGAGUGAUAAUAUCGUACGAAAAGCCGAAUCGUCUAACUGAAAUCAUGAUGACCUUUUCACGUCAGAUCGUAAUCGGAUAGAUACCGGACGCAAGCGAGCAGCAAACGUUCCCAGACUUCUCCUACUCUCAACUCAAGAGUUUCACAGUCGUGGUUUUGUUUAUGCGAUAGUCCGUGUGGGUGGACUGUAAACGUGUAUGUAUGUACGUGCGUGCGUGCCUGUGCACCACAUGACACGAGACUGAUACGUCGUCUCAGAAGUGUUGCCAUCCUGUAACGGCGAACCGCCGCCGUACUGAGCCCACUCAGCCCAGUGAAGCUGAGUUCUUUCUCAAACAGUUGUUGUUGUUACAAUCCACCGCAGUUAUGUGGCAACCUUGGUUGAGAGUGACUCUCUUGUCACUCCUGGCGCUGAUGCCGUCCAUGUUGUCUGUGGUUUUGUUGUGGUACUUCGAGGUAUUAAACAGAGGAGGGCCACUUAUUAUAGUCCUGCUUGUACCAGCUCUGGGCUGGUAUGUCACACAACUGAUCAAGAUCAGUCACAACCGAAGGGAAACAGGACAGGUCGGGACGAGCUCGGAUCCACCGCCGAGGUACGAGAAGGUCAUGGCAGAGCCUCCGCCCUACGAUACCCUUUACUCUGAGAAGCCUCCUGCGAAGGCGUCGUCGAUUGCCAGCAUCAAACCGUCCAGAAUUUCGGAUAAACUGCGACCCACCUCUCGAUUCUGCGACGCGGUAGUCACGAUUUCCCUGGCCAACACGCAUUUUUUCCCCCCGGAACCCAGCGACCGUGGUGGUGUCUCGAUGAGUGGCUCCGUCGAAGUGGAAAACGAACCUCUUAUCGUCAAUACCAUCUUGGAAAGCGGCGACUUAACGAUUUCAGCUGUGGACGAGAGGCAUGACCCUGAUUUACCCUCUUAUCAGGAUGCCGUUAGGACAGCUGCCGCGGCAAUGCCGUGAAUACCUCAGGGCCAUCUGAGAAUGUGGCCGACUUGUGUGUUUCGUGCAGUGAUGUUGGCUGAGGAAUAUCUCGGGGUUCGGGGUAUAGUGUAGUGACGUGACUUAUUUGCGUCCCAAAAGAGACGCGUGAAUAGCUUUGUCUUUCGUGUGACUUAGAGGUGGACUCAUUUCACGGCAUUUUGUGUAUUUGUCGUUGCAAGGUAUUAAAGAAAUCUAUUUUUAUACUAACGACGGAAUUUGAAGGCGUAUUCACACGCACACGCAAGAACAAAGCACUGCGCUUUGUAUGUUUAAAAGGCGGUUACGUUAAUUAGAACAUUAUUGCAUCUUCAGAACGCUUGCUUACCCAGUUUCAGUGUAGCAGUGAAACGUGAUACAAAAGUGGGCAGCAAAAAGACUAGUUAUGCUAGUGAUUUCCUCGUGGAGUGUCUUAUACUGCGUUGAGAAUAUGGCUUAAUGAAUAAAUGUAAAGAAUAUGCCUUAAUGAAUAUAAUGUAGUUUAAGUAAGUAUAAUCCUUUACGCUCGCGGAUGAUAUAUAUAUCUCAAAUGUACCUGUAUCUAUUAGCUGUAAGUCUGUUCCUUACUCAAAAAUCACUUCCAAAUGGCGCUUCCUUUACUCAGAUUAUAGCCGCCCCCCCUUAAAAAUGUGCAAUAGGAUAACACUGUCUUAGCUGUCGUAAAAUAAGCAAUAAAAAUGUUUAUGGUGCAGAAAAAAA